UGAGGAAUAUUGGUCAAUGGGCGGCAGCCUGAACCAGCCAUCCCGCGUGAAGGAAGAAUGCGCUAUGCGUUGUAAACUUCUUUUCCAGGAGAAUAAAAUGCCAUACGUGUAUGGUACUGAAGGUAUCCUGGGAAUAAGCAUCGGCUAACUCCGUGCCAGCAGCCGCGGUAAUACGGAGGAUGCGAGCGUUAUCCGGAUUUAUUGGGUUUAAAGGGUGCGUAGGCGGGAUUAUAAGUCAGUGGUGAAAACCUGCAGCUUAACUGUAGACUUGCCAUUGAUACUGUAGUACUUGAGUGUGGUCAAGGCAGGCGGAAUGUGUAAUGUAGCGGUGAAAUGCUUAGAUAUUACACAGAACACCGAUUGCGAAGGCAGCUUGCUGGGCCAAUACUGACGCUGAGGC
rnacentral:rRNA from 1 species